rnacentral:rRNA from 1 species
CGCUGUGUGUUACAAGUGUCACACGGGAACUGCCGGUCAUAAACCGGAGGAAGGUGGGAUGACGUCAAGUCAGCAUGGCCUUUAUAUCCUGGGCUACACACACGCUACAAUGGGAAGGGACAAUAGGUUGCGAAACCGCGAGGUGGAGCCAAUCCAAGCAAAACUUCCCUCAGUUCGGAUUGCAGGCUGCAAUUCGCCUGCAUGGAAGUCGGAAUCGCUAGUAAUCGCAGGUCAGCAUACUGCGGUGAAUACGUUCCCGGGCCUU